CAGAGGGGGCAAGCGUUAUUCGGAAUUAUUGGGCGUAAAGGGCGCGUAGGCGGCCUUGCAAGUGACGGGUGAAAUCCCUCGGCUUAACCGAGGAACUGCCUGUCAGACUGCAUGGCUUGAGACCGGGAGAGGUGAGUGGAAUUCCCAGUGUAGCGGUGAAAUGCGUAGAUAUUGGGAGGAACACCAGUGGCGAAGGCGGCUCACUGGACCGGUACUGACGCUGAGGCGCGAAAGCGUGGGGAGCAAACAGGAUUAGAUACCCUGGUAGUCCACGCCGUAAACGACUGAGUGCUUGGUGUAGCGGGUAUCGACCCCUGCUGUGCCGAAGUCAACACAUUAAGCACUCCGCCUGGGGAGUACGGUCGCAAGACUG
rnacentral:rRNA from 1 species